rnacentral:rRNA from 1 species
CGGAGGGUCAUUACCGAGUUUACAACUCCCAAACCCCUGUGAACAUACCUUAUGUUGCCUCGGCGGAUCAGCCCGCGCCCCGUAAAAAGGGACGGCCCGCCGCAGGAACCUUAAACUCUGUUUUUAGUGGAACUUCUGAGUAUAAAAAACAAAUAAAUCAAAACUUUCAACAACGGAUCUCUUGGUUCUGGCAUCGAUGAAGAACGCAGCAAAAUGCGAUAAGUAAUGUGAAUUGCAGAAUUCAGUGAAUCAUCGAAUCUUUGAACGCACAUUGCGCCCGCCAGUAUUCUGGCGGGCAUGCCUGUUCGAGCGUCAUUUCAACCCUCAAGCCCAGCUUGGUGUUGGGAGCUGCAGUCCUGCUGCACUCCCCAAAUACAUUGGCGGUCACGUCGAGCUUCCAUAGCGUAGUAAUUUACAUAUCGUUACUGGUAAUCGUCGCGGCCACGCCGUUAAACCCCAACUUCUGAAUGUUGACCUCGGAUCAGGUAGGAAUACCCGCUGAACUUAAGCAUAUCAAUAAGCGGAGGAAAAGAAACCAACAGGGAUUGCCCUAGUAACGGCGAGUGAAGCGGCAACAGCUCAAAUUUGAAAUCUGGCUUUCGGGCCCGAGUUGUAAUUUGUAGAGGAUGAUUUUGAUGCGGUGCCUUCCGAGUUCCCUGGAACGGGACGCCAUAGAGGGUGAGAGCCCCGUCUGGUUGGAUGCCAAAUCUCUGUAAAUCUCCUUCGACGAGUCGAGUAGUUUGGGAAUGCUGCUCUAA